UUCCAUAACCUUCCACCACAUCCCCAUCCCACAACCACCCUCCGGCACCGCCCUCUCACCUCCCUCUCUCAUCUUUCACCUCAUCCGUUACGGCAACCAUAACCUCCACCAAGUUCUUCAGUCCAUUUCCAAAACCUCAAAAAUCAAAGCUCUUGUAUUGGAUUUCUUGAACUACACUGCUAAUGAAGUCACCAACACCCUCAACAUCCCCACUUUCUUUUACUAUACCUCUGGAGCUUCCCCCCUUUGUGCCUUGCUUUACUAUAAAACCAUUAUACAAAUCAAAACAGAAGAUUCAUGCAACUAUCUUGAAAUCCCAGGGUUUCCCAGGAUUUCAAAGGAAGAACUACCAUCAUAUCCAGAAGAAUUGGAGAAUAUUUUCCUUGAUAUUGUUGCCACCAUGAGUGGGUGUAAUGGUAUUAUCAUAAACACGUUUAAUGCGUUGGAAGGAAGAGCUAACAAAGCGUUACAAGAAGGGUCGUGUUUUCCAGAUGAAAGCAACCCACCACCGGUUUUCUGCAUCGGUCCGGUGAUUUCAGUUCCCGGUGGAGAAAACGAUGAGAAUGGGUGCUUGAGCUGGCUCGACUCACAACCGAGUCAGAGCGUAGUGUUAUUGAGUUUCGGAAGCCUUGGAAGGUUCUCGAAGACUCAGUUGAAGGAGAUAGCUAUUGGGUUGGAGAAAAGUGAGCAAAGAUUCUUAUGGGUUGUAAGAAGUGAAUCAGAUGAAGAGAGUUUGGAAGAUCUAUUGCCUGAAGGGUUUUUGGAUAGGACAAAGGAGAAAGGAAUGGUUGUGAGAGACUGGGCACCACAGGUUAAAAUACUGAGUCAUGACUCAGUGGGUGGGUUUGUGACUCACUGUGGAUGGAACUCGGUGUUGGAGGCUGUUUGUGAAGGAGUUCCAAUGGUGACAUGGCCUCUUUAUGCAGAGCAACAUCUAAAUAUGAUUGUUUUGGUGAAGGAAAUGAAAGUUGCUUUGGCACUAAAAGAGACUGAAAAUGGGAUCGUGGGUGCAACCGAGUUGGGGGACCGGGUUAAGGAGCUGAUGGACUCGGAGAAAGGAAAAGAAAUUAGAGAAAGGGUUUUGAAAAUGAAAGUGAGUGGUGUGGAAGCAAGAAAUGAAGGUGGAUCUUCUUAUGUUGCUUUGAAUAGAUUGACUCAGUUGUGGAAAGGGAAAGAUAAUCUCAGUCUUCUUUCUCCCAACAGCCCCUUAUUGUCCAACUAUUCUGGUUAGUGAUUGAAAAGCUUAUGCUUUAGAAAUAAUGAAGUUUGAGUAUGAUCGUAAUCUAAUAAAUGUGAUGAUUAAGAAUCUGUUUUCCCUAAGCAUGUUUGAAAGUCUAUCUCAAAUUAAUCACAAUGAAGUAAAAAUAAAUAAAAUGAUGAAUGUUUAAUUUUUUAAGUGAUAUAAUAUAUUAUGAUUGAUUUGGAAAAGACUUUUGGACAAUAUAUCUUUAUCCUAAAUCUGAUAAGAGAAAGUAGAUCUAUCUAGUAGAAUAUGAGAUUAUAAUAAGUAUAAUUUAAAAUUUAUAUUGUUAAUUAUUUUUCAAAUGACACAUGUUAUUAUGUUAUUCAGUAUUAGACGCUCCUAUCUGUAUUCAUCCGUCACCUAAAUACUCAUUGUAUCUUAUUGGAUUUAAUUUUUAUUAUGCUUUGGAUUGAGUUUUUAAGAUUCAUCCGAGAAUGAUGCACAGUUGAGGCCAAGUUAAAAUGCCUAGCUUAGUAGCUUAUAUUCCGGCCGCUAGAAUGAUGCAUGAGCCAACCUAUGCAAGGAACUUGUUUAUUUGGGCUAGCCUGGUGUCAAAUUCUUUUUUAAAUGGUUGGUAAUUAUAACUGCGUUAUAAAAAUGGAGAAAUUUGAUGCAUACUGUUGUUUAUGCAUUUCCUUUACGCCCUUUUGUCAGCUUAAGCUGAAGUUUCAAAUAAUAAACAAAUCUCACAGAUGUUCUAUUUUUUAUAUAUGUAUCGGAUCCUUUGGCAUUCACUAGUUUUUGCCACCACUCAAUCAUGUUGCAAACAGCUAGUUGAAAAUGCUAGAACCAUUGCCUUUAUACUUGAACUCAUAAAUAAAUAAAAUAAUACCAUAAUAUAAUUAGUGUUGGAAACUUAUAAUUUGUUCCCGACCGGUUUCAGGACACGGGAUCCAAACUAUACUUUACAUUGUCAGAGUUUAAGAGUUAACGUCUUCAAAGGGAUUAGAAUGUUUUCUAGGCUUCGUAUGAUCCUUUUGUUAGCCUGAUCCAAGAUAACCAAAAUAAUUCGGCUUUUAUGUGCAUGAAUAAGAGAAAAUGAUAUAUACAUGAAUAAUGUAAGAGUUUUUUACACUGUUACUAUAUCAUUUUGUCAUCCAUCUUUAAUCAUCAUUCACUUUUAAAUAUAAGUAAUACAAAUGAAUAGUAAAUAAUGCACUAACUGUAUAUAAAUCUUUUCACUUUCCCUCAUUUUUUAUAAUAAUACACCAAAAAGUCAAACUUUAUACGUAUAGUUAUUUUUAAUAUGAUCAACCACAAUAUGUUUGUAAUAAUUGAAUUACAUUUUCAAAAUAAUAAUAUUGAUAUUUAUAAAUUUGCUUAAUAUGUGGUUUAAAUAGUUUCACAUGCAACAUAUCUUGUUGCGAGGUUCGAGAAGUUCCACAUCAAUAAUGCAACUCCAUAGAUCUCUUUUCAUCUAUGCUUAUUUUAUGACUUCCCUCUUAUGAAUCUCAUAUGUGAGGUGUGGUACGGGUGAGUAAGAUUCACUAUACUUAUUUAUCUAGUUUUGUCCGAUUAUAAUUUGAUUGAAAUAUUAUUGGAUUUUGUUGUGUGUAGGGUUAGAUUCAAAUUUACAAAUUAGACCAAAUUAAUAAAUAAGGUCGGAUAAAGGACACGACCAAUUCUCGCCCGCUUUCCACAUCCAUACUUAAUUGCAUACCAAUGGUCCAUUUUGUUACAAGAACCUAUGUAUUAAUAUAAUAAAAUACUUUUAAUCAUAUUUUUCAAUUACUUUUGUUAGUUAUCUAGGACAUUUUUGUGUAAAUAAUUUAUUGCCAUAAUAUAUAUCAUUCUAUAUGUAAUUGAUUUUCUAAAAUUUUUCUUCAUAUAUACAUAUAUGUAAAUAAUCAACAAAGUAUCUAUAUAUAUGUGUGUAAAUAUUAUAUAUAUAUAUAUAAGGAGUGACUCAAAUGAGAAUAAUUCUCACAUAAAAACUCUUAGAACAAUAAAUUUGGGUCUUACAAUCAUACAUGAAUGAUUAGAAUUAAAAGUUAGUUAUUAGUCACAAAAUAAUCAUGUGUAUUUAUCUUUAAUCUUGACUGAUCAAAUAAGAUCCGAUGAUUCAUAUUAAAUGUUCUCAUUUCUCACAAUAAUAAUUAUUCUCACAUGAGUCACUUCAUAUCUAUAUAUAACUACAUAUCCAUAGUAAUAAGUAAUGUUCAUUGACUUGAUCUAAAUGAAUUUAUUUUAUCUCGUUUAGAGCUGAAUUCGUAUUCAAAAACUAACUCAAUCGACAUUUAUGACUAAGUUAGCCUUUAAAUAUACGGUGAGGUUGAAAUUCCAGUUUGCAACUUGCCAUUCAGAUUUGCAAAAUUCCAGUUUUAAUCUUCCUCUACUCACUUGAUCCCUAAGGAAAUAGAAUGUUGUCUCAGUAUGCUUACUUCUCCCAUGUGCUACUGGGUUUUUGGCCAACUUUAUUGCUGAUUUGUUAUCAACCAUCAGAUGCAUACUUUCCUCUUCAUCCUUUAGCUUUAAUUCUCCAAGUAAUUUCUCCAACCAUAGAGCUUGACAAGUAGCCAUACAAGCAGCAAUAUAUUAUGCUUCACAUGAGGACAAAGCAACCACUUCUUGUUUCUUUGAACACCAAGAGAUUGGAUCAUCACCAAACAUGAACACAUAGCUUGUUGUGCUCUUUCUAUCACUCUUAUCUCCACACCAGUCUGCAUCACUAAAUCCAAGCAUUUUGUGAUUGGUGCUAUUGGCUUUGGAAGGAAGCAUUAACCCAUAUUCAAUUGUUCCUUUUACAUAUAUGAGUAUCCUCUUGGCUGCAAGUAGAUUGGAUUUCCUUGGCGACUCCAUAUAUUUACUCACCAAUCCUACUUUGUAUGCAAUAUCUGGCCUUGUGUCGCAAACAUACCUAAGACACCCUAUCAUUUGUCUAUAAAGUGUCUUGUCCACACUUGAAUCUUCUCCAAGUUCAUCAAAUGUAGUACUUACUUCAAUGGGAGUGGAGACUAAGUUGCAGUCAUUCAUUUGAAAUCUCUCCAACACAUCAGAGGUGUAUUUUCUUUUAUGCAUAAAAAUUCAAGCCUUGGUUCUUGUAAACUCUAUCCUAAGGAAGUAGGAUAGAUUUCAAAAGUCACUCAUCUCAAACUCAGUUUUCAUAUCUUCCUUGAGUUCACUGAUUUCUUCAACCUUGCUGCUUGUUACUAACAGAUCAUCCACAUAUAGACAAACUAUUAGUAACUCAUUCAGGUUUGAGCCCCUAAUGUAAAUUCCAUGCUCAGAUGUGCACUUAACAAAACCAAGCGCAACAAGAACCCGUCUAAUAUUUUUAUUCCAAGCUCUUGGAUCCGAUUUGAGACAGUAAAGGGCCUUAUGCAAUCUUUACACCAAGUUGUCUUUGCAUGCAACCUCAAAACCAAGUGGUUGAGUGACAAAAACUUCCUCUUCUAGUGGUCCAUUUAGGAAGGUAGAUUUGACAUUCAUCUGAUGUAUAUGCCAGCCAUAAUAACUUGCUAGGGAGACCACCAAUCUUAUGGUUUCCAAUCUUGCAACAGGAGCAAACACUUCAUCAUAGUCUAGACCUUGUUUUUGUAAGAAACCCUUUCCUACAAGUUUUGCCUUGUACUUGACCACUUCUCCUUUAAGAUUUAUCUUGACUUUGUACCCCCAUCUUACAACAAUUGCCUUCUUGUCUGAUGGUAAUUGAGUUAGUUGCCAUGUCUGGUUCUUCUCAAUAGAUCUGAGCUCUUCUUUCAUAGAAUCCAACCAAUGACUUUCCUCCAAUGCUUCAUCAAAGUUCACAGGUUCCAUCUGUGCUACCAAGGCCAUGUGGACCAGUUCCCAUUCUGUAGUUAUUUCUGAGUUUGGAAAGACUUCAUAGUCACUGAAUCUAGAUGGAGGUUGCCUCACUAUAUGAGAUCUUCUUUCAGUUUGAGUUUCUGUAGCAACUGGUUGUUGUUCAACUUCAUCACCAAGAUGCAUCAAGGCAUUUCUUCUUUGCUCACCAUCCUUGUCAUUCCAAUCCCAGCAUUGUGACUCAUCAAUCUUCACAUCUCUGCUCAACAUUGUCUUUUGGGUUAGAGGAUUGUACACCCUAUAUGCACAUGUAGAAUGGUAUCCAAGCAAAACCAAUCUUUCACCUAUAUCAUCUAGCUUCCUUAUCUGUACUACACGAGCAUGUUUAUAGCAGAUACUUCUAAAGAUUCUAAGUGGCUAACACUUGGUUUCAAACCUGACUAGACUUCUUCAGGAGUAAUGUCACCAAGUCUCUUUGCAUGACAUCUAUUCAGGAUAUACACGGCUGUUGAGACAGCUUCUCCCCAAAAAUUCUUGGGCAUCUUCUUUGUUUUGAGCAUGCUUCUAGCCAUAUUCAGGAUAGUUAUAUUCUCCCUUUCUGUCGUGCCAUUGUGUUGUGGUGUAUAGCGUGCAAUCACUUCAUGGAUAAAUCCUUCUUUGUCACAAUAUUUACUCCAUUCAGCUGAGGUGUAUUCUCCACCACCAUCAGUUCUUAGAGACUUCAAUUUUUGCUCCUUUUGUCUUUCCACUUGAACCUUAAAGCUGAGAAAAGUGACAAACACAUCACUUUUUCUUUUAAUGAGAUACACUCAUGCCUUCCUUGUGAAGUCAUCUAUGAAAGUCACAAAAUAUCUAUUGUCCCAUAGUGAAAUCUCCUUAAAUGGCCCACGCACAUCAGAAUACACCAACUCAAGAGGUCUUGUUGAUUUGGUUGGCACAUGAGAGACAAAUGAGUUCCUUGUCUGUUUUCUUGUGAGACAUUCAUUACAUAAUUCACUAGGAGUUCUAAUAGGUGGCAAGCUAGUUACCAUUCUAGUUCUGCUUAAAAGAUUAAGACUCUUGAAGUUCAAAUGACCAUACCUUUGAUGUCAGGUCCAACCAUAAGCAGCUUUGGACAUCAAACACUUGUGAUCAUCAAUUUAGAUUCCAAUCUUGAAGGUUCUAUUGCUAGACAGGGGAACCUUCAAUAUCAGCUUCCUUCAUAGUCAUUGUGUACCAUUUCUCAAGCAACUGACUAAGACUAAGCAGGUUGCUUCUCAUCUUGGGUACAUACAACACAUUUUGCAUACAAGAGUGCUUUCCAUAUUUCCUUUGGAUUGAAAUAUCUCCAAUUCCCACAGCAUCAAUGGAACUAUGAUAUGCAAACUUCACCUUGUUUUUGGAAGUCUCAUCAAGUUUCACAAACCAUUCCUUCUAGUCAGUCGUGUGAUUUGAGCAGCCUGUAUCAAGAUACCAACAAUCAUCCUUGACAUUUUCCUUUUCAGUUCUGACCAUAAGCAAUACUUCUUCCUCAUUAGAUUCUUCUCUUUGGGCCAUUCUUGCUUCAGCUUCUGGUCCACUACCAUGCUUGAAUCUACAUUCAGAUGCAUAUUGACCAAGAUUUUUACAGUUGAAGCAUUGAAUCUUUAUCUUGUCGAACUUCUUUUUGUUUCUUCUGAAUUUUUGAUCCUGCCCACUGAAUAUCUGUGAGGUGGUUGAACCAGGAUCUUGUCUGGUUCCUUCAUCCUUGCCAUUUUCAUUCUUCCAUCUACCUUUGGAUUUCUUUUGAAAGUUUAUCUGACCAGAGUGCCUUCUACUAGAUUGAGCUUUAAGGGCUUGAUCAAGAUUCCUUUCUUAAUUCCUCUCCUUUAUUCUUUGCUCAUAUGCCUCCAAUGAGCUCUACAACUCCUCUAUCUUGAACACUUUAAGAUCUUUUGAUUCUUAUAUUGCAACCACAAUAUGAUCAAACUUACAGGUCAAUGUUCUCAGCACCUUUUCAACCAUCAAUUGAUCUCUCAUCACACCCUGCAUUAGAUUUGUCAAAGAUCUAAUCUUGGUGAAGUAUUCUGUUAUGGUGUAACCUUCCUUCAUUUGAAACAAUUCAUACUCCCUUCUCAAGGUCUGCAACUUCACUUUCUUAACAUUUUCAGCUCUUGUAUAACUCUUUUCAAGAUUGUCCCAAGCCUCCUUUAUUAUUUUGGCAUUGUCAAUCUUCUCAAAGUUGGAUUCAUUCACGCAUUGAUGAAUCAUGAACAAGGUUUUGCAGUCUAUUUUCUUGCAUUCUCUAAAAGUGGAUCUCUGUGCUUCAGUGGCAUCCUCACCGGCUGAAUGGUAUCAAUUCUGCACUAUCUCAAGAACUUCUUGAUAGCCAAACAGAACCAUCAUCUGCACACUCCAUCUUUCAUAGUUCUUUCCAUCUAGAGUUGGUAGUGUCAUAGUAAAUCCACUACUGUUUGCCAUGAGAAGGUUGUUCUUGCUUUCUUCCUUCUUUUCACAGACCCAAGAUCAAGGAAAAACGAAAGCUCUGAUACCACUUUUGAAGGAGAAGAAAGAAAAAAAUGAAUUUAAAAAGAAAGAAAAAAUUUAUUCGAUUAAGGUAACAGGUAAUCGAUUAUCGGGGAAAUGAGAGAACAUAGUUAAAACUGAAUAAUACUUCACAUCUUUUUCAUUUCAGACACAGUGCCUUUUAUAACAGAAAUAACAGUCUGUUUAAUUAAUUACAUAAACUAUUAAUCGAUUAACGAAACUACUUUUAAUCGAUUAACUAGUUAAAUGAACUACAUUAUUCAACAGAUAUUAACUUCAAUUUAUAUUCAUAAUUUUAAGGUUAUUAAAUAUAAAAUUGUAAAUACAAAUACUUGACCAAAUUAAAAUUACAAUGCAAAGAAUAAAGUUGACAUAACAUAAAGAAUUUUUAUGUCGUCCAAAAUCUAUAUUCUUAUAUUUACCUCAAACAAUAAAAGAAAAAUAUUUAAUUGGACAAUAGCUUAUGAGUCUUUUCUCUCGGUUCCUUACCCAUCAUGAUUAGUAAUCAACACUAGAUGUCUUGAUCCUACUUUAAUAACAAUGAUUAGGAUGUUCCAAAGGACCAAUUACUUCAACAAACAUAAUGAAAAGAAUGUAAUAUUUAUUUAUUGUUAGUAUAAAGAUUUAUAUACAGUCAGUAAAAAAUUAUGCAAUAUUAAUUUAUAUUACUUUUUUUUAAGAUGGGUCAAUCAUAUUAAAAUAUAAAUGAUAAAUAAUACAGUCUUAUAUUGUGAGUGUAUACAUUUUUUUCUCAUAUGAAAAUUGUAAAUUUAGACACACAAUGAAUUGACAAAUUUGGAAUCUCUAAGUUUGAGGGUUCCCACAAACAUUGGAGGAGACUGCAAAAUUGUGCAGCAAUACCAUAAUCUAUGUACUUAACCUUCAGUCUAAAUGAGCAGUUUCAUUGAGAAGCAGAAACCAAGUGACAAAUGCAAAAUCAAAUAGCAUAAUAGAAGGCUUAAUUCACUCUACCACAGAACAGGAAUACUCAAAUUACUUUCUUUGGUUACUUAUAACAUGAAUACUAGAAUAAUUAUAAAAAACAUGGAUUUGAGAACAACAAACAGAUAGAUUGAUCACCUAAAUUGUGUAAUUUGUUAAAACGGGUUCACAAUUGUAUUAACAGAAUGCAAGGAUCUGCUAUACCACGAGUUUUUGUUCUAUUUCAGUGAUACAUAACAGUUCUAAUUGUUGCUACUGAAAAAUGGAAAAUGCAGUUCUAAUUGUUGUAGUAACAUAGAGCACUAGAUCAAUAGUUUAAUAGAGCACUAGAUCAAUAGUUUAAUAGAGCACGUGAGCCAUGCAGAGAAACUAAAGUGGAACUUUGAUUAAAAUGAAAAAUUGCAUGAGCAGAAGGCAUGAUGGGCUUAAUGUAUAUUCGGCUUUUGAGCCCAUAAUUAUUAGAAUAACUUUCGAUAUAUGUCACACAUCUAUGAAAGUGUUUUUUUCUUCUAAAAGUAAAAGAUGUUAGUGAUAAAAUUAAGCUUGACCAUUAAAGAACUUAGAGGGCAACCAGUUGUUCUUAACUUUCUUAAUAGAAUAAAAACAUUUUUACUCUGUUCUCUACUGGGUCAUUCUUAUUUUAUGAAUUAUAUUCUGAAAUAAGAACAAGGAAAGGGAAAUAAGAACAAAGAGAGAAUAAAAAAAGUAGUUAUUAUUCUUAUUUCAUGGAAAAUAAAUUAUAAAAUAACAUAUGUUUUUUGUUGUUAAGAGUGGAUGAUCGGGAGUUGAAGAUAGAUGGCUGGAAGAGUGUAGGAGAGCAGGUGACUUGGUCGAAUGAUCGUCUGGACCCGCCGGGGAGGUACCUAUUAAUUGAUGUAAUCAAGUGAGUUAGUUAUAGUAGUUAGAUGAGGUGCCACUUAUAGAAAGUAGUUAAGUUGGUUGAAGUUGUUUAGGAAAGUUGUACAUUAGUUUGUAAUCAUUGAAGGAUUAUGAAUAAUUCCAAUGCACUGAAUAUUCAUUGAAACUCAACUCUCUUACAAAUUAAUCCCUCUAUCCCUGACCACGAUUUCAUCUUCUUCUGCAACUCUUCUUUCUGUUUCUUUUCUUUCACACACAACACUAACAAUUGCCAUCAAUAGCUAGCAAGAAGAUCACUAUCUUUUCGCUGCAAAUGGCACAAGCAACUAGACAGUUUGCCACAACACUACCUAUACUAGACGGCAAGAACUGGACUAGGUGGUGCAUACAAAUGAAAGCAAUACUUGGCUAUCAAGAUGUGGCAAAUAUAGCGGAGGAAGGGUUACCAAUCCUAGAAGAAGGAGUCACCGAAGCACAACGGAACGCACAUAAGCAAAACAAGAAACGAGACUGCAAAGCAUUUUGCCUUCUCCACCAAGCAGUGGACAAUGGCCACUUUGAAAUGAUUGCAGGAUCUGCAACAACUAAGGAAGCUUGUGAUGUGCUAGGAAAGCACUAUGUUGGUGCUGCACAAUUGAAGAAAAUUCGUCUACAAACCAUGAGGAGGCAAUAUGAACUCAUGCAGAUAGAGGAAGGUGAGAAAGUUGCAGAUUUUUUCACUAGGUUGAUCACACACACAUAAGCACAACCGAACGCACAUAAAAAAAACAAGAAACGGAACUGCAAAGCAAUUUGCCUUAUCCACCAAGCAGUGGACAAUGCCCACUUUGAAAUGACUGCAGGAUCUGCAACAUCUAAGGAAGCUUUGGAUGUGCUAGAAAAGCACUAUGUCGGUGCUGCACAAUUGAAGAAAAUUCGUCUACAAACCAUGAGGAGGCAAUAUGAACUCAUGCAGAUGGAGGAAGGUGAGAAAGUUGCAGAUUUUUUCACUAGGUUGAUCACACACACAAAUGCAAUGAAGGCUUGUGGUGAGAAGAUGACUGAUGCAACCAUAGUUGAAAAGAUCUUAAGAAUAGUGUCCCCUAAGUUCAAUUAUGUGGUGGUAGCUAUUGAGGAAUCGGGAAGAGUUGAAAAUAUGAAGAUUGAGGAGCUUCAAGGGUCCAAUGAGAGGAUCACAGAUAGAUCCUCACACCAAGUUCUCCAAAUGUAGACAACAAAUAAAGGAGGACUAUGUGCAAAGAAUUCAAGUAGAAACCAAGGAAGAUAUCCUGAUAUGAAAGGGAGAAAGAACUAUGCCAACAAUUCUGAACAACCAGAACAAUCCAAUAAGAGAUAUGGUUAUAAGCAAUUCAAAGGGUUGAAGAGGAAAGUUGAUAAGAAGAAAGUUAGGUGCUAUAAUUGUGACAAGCUUGGGCAUUACUCAACUGAAUGCUUAGCACCUACCAAGAAUCAACAACAAAGAAAGCAAGAAUCAGAAGCAAAUCUUGUCAAGGAAGAAAAUGAAGACUUUGAUGAAGAAGUUGUGCAACUCAUGAUGACAAUAGAGUGCAGAUCCCAAAGAAAUGAUACUUGGUAUCUUGACUCUGGUUGCUCCAACCACAUGAAUGGACACAAAUAAUGGUUGGUGAACUUUGACUCAAACAAGAGAAACAAAGUGAAGUUUGCAGACAACAGGGUAGUGAUCACUGAAGGUUCAGGUGACAUACCCCUCAAAAUGAAGUCUGGUAGCAAAGCAUACAUAACAGAUGUGUUGUUUGUCCCUGAAAUGAAAACCAACCUCAUCAGUCUUGGGCAACUACAUGAAAAAGGAUUCAGUAUGGAGUUGAAUGAUGGAGUUAUGAGUGUCUAUCACAACUUGAAGAAGAAGAUCUUACAAGCUCCGCUCUCAAGCAAUAGGACAUUCCAAAUCAAGCUAGGAAUUGCAUAUUCACAAUGCUUGAAUGCAUAAACUACCUCAAAUGAGACAUGGCUCUGGCACUUAAAUUAUGGCCAUCUCAACUACAAAGACCUUAGAAUACUAAGCACUAAGGAAAUGGUCAUUGGUCUUCCUGAAAUUAAAACUCAAAACUCAAUAUGUGAUAAUUGCCUAACUAGCAAACAGGUCAGAACAUCAUUCAGUAAUCACAAACAAAAUAGAGUUGUUGAAUUACUAAAUGUUGUAUACUCAUAUGUAUAUGGACCUUUUGAAGUGCCCUCACUUGGAGAAAACAAAUACUUUGUCUCUUGUUGAUGAGUUUAGCAGGAAGAUGUGGAUUUACCUAAUCAAAGCAAAGAAUGAAGUAUUUGAUAAGCUAAAGAAAUUCAAGGCCUUGGUAGAAAGAUAAUCUGGGAAACUCCUAAGAAUUUUCAGAACUGGUGGAUGAGGAGAUUUCAAUUCAAGAGAGCUAGAAGAUUAGUGUGAAGGGCAUGACAUCAUUCAUGAAGUCACUGCUCCAUACACUCCACAACAUAAUGGAGUGGCUGAAAUAAGGAAUAGAACUGUCAUGAACAUAGUAAGAUGCAUUCUGAAAUGCAAGGGCCUGCCUCAUAAUUUUUGGGGUGAAGCUGUGACUACAACAACAUAUAUACUGAAUAGAUGUCCAACUCAAGCUCUUGGCAAUCAGAUCCCUGAAGAGGUUUGAACUGGAAAAAGGCAAUCAGUGAAGCACCUAAGAGUGUUUGGUUCAUUUUGUUAUAGGCACAUCCCAGGUCAGUUGAGAAGGAAGCUAGAUGACAAGAGUGAAUUGAUGAUGUUUGUUGGCUACAAUCCAACAAGAUCAUAUAGACUUCUGAAUCCUAUAACUAAUCAAGUGAAGUUCAACAGAGAUGUGUAUUUUGAUGAGAUGAGCAUAUGGAAAGAUUCUCUUAUGAAGGAUGAGAACAACAAAUCAGUAAUUGUAAUUCAUAUGCAAGAUAAUAGUGAGAACUCAGAAGAAUUGAAUCAUGUUCCAAGAAUAAGGAAUCAAGAAAACAGGGGUGCUGAAACUAGACCUACAAGGACAAGGCACCUACCAAUAAGGUUAAGUGAGUGUGAAAUGUUUGCAGAUGAUGUAAUCACUGAUGAAGGUGACUUGAUCCACUUGGCUCUCCUAGGAGAAAUUGAACCAAUUACUCUCAAAGAGGUACUUAAAGAGGAUGUAUGGCUUGAGGCAAUGAAGGAAGAACUCAAAGCCAUCAACAAAAAUGACACUUGGGAAGAGGCUCAACUACCUAAUGGUAAGAGACCUAUAGUAGUCAAAUGGGUGUACAAGGUCAAGUUGAGACCUGAUGGAAGUGUCUUCAUGCACAAAGCAAGGCUUGUGUCCAAAGGAUUCAUGCAAAAAGAAGGCUAUCACUAUGAUGGGAUGUUUGCACUAGUGGCCAGAUUUGAAACAGUUAGGUUGAUUGUUGCACUUGCUAGUUGGAAUGGCUGGAAAUUGUGGCAACUUGAUGUCAAGAGUGCCUUCCUAAAUGGGCCUCCUGAAGAAUAAGUGUAUAUAACUUAGCCCCCAGGGUUUGAGACAACAACAACAGAGGAAAACAAAGUACUAAGAUUAAAGAAGGCAUUGUAUGACUUGAAACAAGCUCCAAGAGUUUUGAACAAAAGAAUUGACUCAUUUCUAUCAUAUAUUGGCUUCACUAAGUGCAAGAUAGAACAUGGUGUGUAUGUGAACUUAACAAGCACAGGAGAAUUAAUUUUAAUCUGUGUCUAUGUGAAUGAUUUGGUCAUCACAGGGAGCAGUGAAUCUGAAAUCCUAACAUUGAAGAGAAAGCUCAAAUUUGAGUUUGAAAUGACAGACCUUGGAGAGUUAGCAUACUUGCUUGGCAUAGAAUUUCUCAAAGUAGAAAAGGGAAUAGUUAUGCAUUAGAGGAAGUACACAAAAGAUGUGCUCGACAGAUUUCAAAUGCAAAAAUGUAAACCUGCAUCAACACCAGUUGAAGCAAACAUGAAGCUGGAUGAAGCAAGCCUGGAAAAUCAAGCAGAUACAACACUCUAUAGACAAAUUGUGGGUUGUCUCAGGUUCAUUUGUCACAGCAAGCCCGAGAUAACCUAUGGAGUUGGAGUGAUAAGUAAACAAAUGGCUAAACCUACACAAGCACACAUGGUUGCAGCAAAAAGAAUCCUUAGAUAUCUCAAAGGAACUUUAUGUUAUGGUGUGUUGUUCCCAAUCCAAAAGCAGAAUUGUGAGUCAGGUUUUGUGGGAUACUCAGACUCAGAUUGGUGUGGAGACAAGGAAGACAAAAGGAGCACCUUAGGCUAUUUGUUCACCAUCUUUGGUGCACCUAUAUCUUGGAGCUCAAGGAAGCAAGAUGUAGUAGCCUUAUCAACCUGUGAAGCUGAAUAUAUUUCAGCAUGUAAUGCUACAUGCUAAGGUUUAUGGCUGAUGUAUCUAAUGACAGAGCUAAAGUAUGGAGAGUUUGAGAAUUUCGAACUAAGGGUGGAUAAUAAGUCAGCAAUAAGCUUGACAAAGAACCCUGUUAGCCAUGGAAGGAGCAAACACAUUGAAACAAGAUUCCAUUUCCUAAGAGAUCAAGUUGGUAAGGGUAGAGUCAAGAUGGUUCAUUGCUCAACAUAGAUCCAAAACGCUGAUGUUUUAACAAAGGCACUCAUGGUUGAUAGGUUCAAAAGACUAAGAGAUAUGGUGAAUGUAUUCAGCUUCUAAAACAACUUUGUUUUGGCUAUGGAAUGCUUACUGCCAUGAACAACAACUCCUUGAUUAAGAGGGCAUGUUAAUUGAUGUAAUCAAGUGAGUUAGUUAUAGUAGUUAGAUGAGUUGCCACUUAUAGAAAGUAGUUAAGUUGGUUGAAGUUGUUUUAGGAAAGUUGUAUAUUAGUUUGUAAUCAAUGAAGGAUUAUGAAUAAUUAGACUGAAUAUUCAUUGAAACUCAUCUCUCUCAUAAAUCAAUCCCUCUCUCCAUGACCACGAUUUCAUCUUCUUCUGCAACUCUUCUUUCUGUUUCUUUUCUUUCACACACAACACUAACAGUACCUGAAAAGAUUCUCCAAUGAUCAAGUCAGUAGAGUAUUCUUAGAGAGAGAAAGACAGUAAAUAAGAGAGAAGUUAGAGCAAUAAGUGUAGCAAUAAAUGAAGGAAUGAAAAUUAAUUACACUCCAUGUGCGGUCUCUUCUAUUUAUAGAGCUUAGGAAGUGCUGAGAUGACAUCUGAUCAUUGGUCAGCGUCUAACAGGUACAAGGGACGUACUCUGGCCAUCCUUACUUUGACCUGCGGAUCUGUCCUUGUCGAUUUAUCGGGGGCAGUUGGAAUGUGCAGGCGACCUGUUAUCUAACAUUGGAGGCGAGUCAGAGGUGCAUUAAAUUGUGGGUCAGAGGUGUCAAUGCUAUGUCUGGAGCAUUUAUGGCUUCCUUUACUGGCGGGUCCACUUGAGGCGGGCAACGGGGAUUAUGCGGGGUAGUGAAUGUCAUGCUCGGGUCUGAUGGGUAAUUGUCCGGUUAUGACCGGGAUAGAACAAUAUAUGAGACUCAAAUAAGAAUGAAGAUGUUGUAUGAGAUUAUGGUUGGUCUUACUUCCUCUAAUUUUUAAGAAUGAUUUGAGAAGCAGCCACCAUAACCACUUCCAUCAAAGCUAUAGAGAAAAAAAUACAAGCAGAAUCAUUUGAAACAAAAUAAAAUACUGGUAUCACCAAUAAAGCGGGUCAAUCCUCCCACACCUAUGCAUAUUAUUCUACUGCAGCCACAAAAUGAAAUAAAUUAUAUCCAUCAUACUCCUUCUAAUUUCCCAGAAGUGUUCAAUAUAAAGCACCAGGCAUAUUUUCAAAUAACUAAUACAUCUGCAUACAAUUAUCCUCUUUAAGCAUCAUCCAACAUGUUAUAUUCUUUCAAGGCCCUUAGACAUUUAUAGACAAGAGAAAUAAUUGACAUUACAUAUUCUUAAUUAACAGGUUAUUUGUGCUACAAUAACUUUCUAAUCUUGACGAAUAUCACAUCUAUCUGAUUAUUAAACUCCUAAAUCCAAAAUUGUUGUAUUCAAAGCAUUCAUACUAUUUUAUUCCAAACAUUUAUUGUUAACUAUUUUUAGUUUUGUUAAGUAUUAUGGAAUUCUUUGCCUCCAAUCCUUCUUCAGUCUGAACUAUCAUUGCAUUCAAUAGAGCUCUUGACAGGUCUUAUUCUUUCACCGCUUGUUGAAACGUUACUAAUUGGAUUACUCAAUUAUCUCCUCAACCCAUUAAGAUUUUGACAUCUAUUAUCUUUUACUUUUUAUUUUAUUCACUCAAAGAAUUGAUAAACAUGUUUUAGUGUUGCCUAACUUGCACAGACAGAUUUAAUUGACUAUGGACCAAAAUUUUAUGUAACCAACGAAAAAACAAAACCAACACAAUAUUGAAUCUAAGUCAAGCAAAGAUAAAUAACUGGAGUUCUUGUCUUAGGUUUUCUAUGGAAAACCAAAGACAAAUUCAACUUUUCUUCAUUCUUCUUUCUGAUUUAGAGAACAAAGAAACAAAUACUAUUUGACACAACAACAGUGAUGGACGGUGUGAAAUUUAAGGAAGGGGGGUGAAGGUUGAAUUAUUGAAUUGAGGAUGCAUGGAGGUGAAGGAGGGCUUCUAAAUUUUGAAGGAAAAUAAUAAAAAGUAAAAGAUGAUUAUUAAAAUUGUAAACAAGAAUUAAUGAGAUAAUUGAUCUCAUUACAGUAGGAAGAUAUAUUUUAUUCUCAAAAUAGAUAUUCAACCAUAUAUAUAUAUAAUGAUAAAAAUGUAUUCCAAUUCGACGAAUUAUUUAAAAACAUGAUAUUGACUACUAUCCUUUUUAUAAAUUUGCCAUGUUUGUGUUAUUUUAUGAAGAUAUUAAAAUAACAAUUAUUUAUUAUUAUUAUGUAAAUACAUACUUUCCAUGAUGAAGGUAUAUUUGUAGAGUUGUUUAAUUUGCCUUCUGUAUCAAAGAAAAAUAAUUGGAUGCAUAUUAGCUAUUAUUAUCAUUACUAUAAAAUCUAUUUACUAAUAAUAUAAUAAUAUAAAGAUUUAUAUAAACAAUACAUUAUUUAUGAUUUGUUUAUUACAUAUAUCUAAAGGCAAUAAAUCAAAUAUAAAUAAUAUACUUAUAUAAUAUAAAAAGAGUUUAAUAUUUAUAUACACUCUAUAUAAAGUUUUUACACUUACAACAUAUCAUUCACUAUUAAUUUAUAUUAUUUACGAGUCAAAGAUAAUUAAUAUAUCAAUUAUAAAUAAUAUAUAAACUAAUUAUAUUAUCAGCGUAUACAUAUUAAAUCUAUAUAAAAAACUGAUACUACUUCUAUACGAGUGUCAUAAUUGAGCCACAUGCACGGUAUCUUUCUAGAAGCUCCGACCUCAGUCGUACUCCUUUUAAUGCAGGAGUUAUUAUAUCCUUAUUAAAAGUGAUAUCAAAUCUAAAGAAAUUGUCCAGUAUGAUUUUUUUUGUUGGUAUAAUUAAGUAUUUCUCUACCCUCAUAAAUAAGAAAAUAAUUAAAUAUUUCUGUAACCUCCUAAAUAAGAAAAUAAUAUAAUUAAAAGUGCUAUCAAAUCUACUAAAGAAAUUGUCCAAUAUGAUUUUUUAUUGGUGCAAUUAAGUAUUUCUCUAACCUCAUAAAUAAGAAAAUAAUUAAGUAUUUCUCUAAAUAAGAAAAUGAUUUAUUUUAAGUUUUGUUUUGAUUUCUUUCGAACAAGUAUUGCUCACAUGAAUUAAAUAUUUAACUUAUUAACUAUUAUGAGAAUCCAGUAGAUGUGAUACUAUCACUAUACCAACAUCUUAUUACUCUAAUAGAUGAUCUAUUAAUUAUAUUCUAUAUUGAUUAAGUUAUAUAUUUACAUUAUAAUAAGUUAAUAUCUACUGCUUAUGCCUCUCAGUUCAUUUUUUUUUGUAAUGUGUAAUCACCAUGGUAUAAAUGUCAUAUAUAACAAUUUGUAUUAAAUAUUAUAAUUUGCAAUUUAUUUGAUUGAAGUAACUAUUAAAAUUGAACAUUUAAAUAAUUGAAUCACUCGUAAUUAUUUUUUUAGGUGAAGUAAUAAUUAAGCCAUAAUCAUUCAAAUACAUUCAUAAACUUAUAUGCUAUAAACCUAAAGUAGUGUUACUUUGGAUGCAUAUGUAAUUGCUAGUGCAUAUUUUAUAAAUUACAACUAUAAAUAAAUAGAAAGUUGUAAGGGGACAAAGUGUGUUAAGUAUUAAAAAGAAGUGAUUGUAUUUUUAAUGAUCACCCCUCCUCUUUUAUAUAACUUCAGGUUUCCAUUCAUUUUUUGUUUUCAUAUGCUCCUAACUGAAUUUUUAUAAUUACCAUAAUAAUAAUGAUCAUGUUUUAAACUAGUUAUUGCACAAAUAUUUACAACUUUGUUACAGAGUAAAAAUAAAAACAUUCUAUAUAGUAAAGGGCAAAAUUUGAAUGUAGAAAUUACAUGUUCAAUUAAAUAUUUACCCUUUAAUCAUGUUUUGAGUAUUAGUAUAGGAUAAAUAUAAUAAACCUAUAAAUAUAAUAUUAUUAUUGAAGCAUAUAAUUUAAUUAUUGCAAUUAUUAAGUGGUCCACCAUGUUUUGAGUACUUAAUGUGUUAUUUUAAAAAAUAUAUAUGGAAAAGAAUUAUGUGGAAACCAAUUUUGGAUAUGAUAUGAUUUGAUGAGUAUUUUUAGUAUUGAUUAGUUUUUAUUGGUUUUAUUGCAUGUCUAGUAUAAUCAUGAAUGCAUAUGAUUUUAUGGGAUAUUCUCCCACUGUGUAAAAUUACUUUAUAGUUUAUAGUUUAUAGUUUAUAGUUUUCAGCUAUUACUCCCUAACACGAAGUGCGAUAUGGUGUACAUUUCUGCUUUAUUUUUCGUAUCUUGACCAGAUAUUCACGAAUAUAAUUAUGAACUAAUCUUCGUAUCUUUAUUUUUCGAGUACGUCAUAUAUGAUAGAUACCAAUAAUUUGGAGACAUAUGUUUCCAAAUCUUGAUUUGACCAGGUUGCCAAUUCUCACAUUUCAUGAAUAGUGUGUAUGAAUUAACUUAAUCUUCAUUGUAACCAUUAAUUAUAUGGGCAUCUAAUAGUUUAGAUCUACUUAUUAAUUUAAAUCAUUUAAUUUUCAUAGAAUAAAUAACUAGCAUGAAGAGUAAGUUUAAAAAAUUUAUUUAUGCAAUAAGUGAAUCACUCCUCUUUUAUGAAUAUUAUACUCACAAUUUCUUUAUUUAUUUUUUAUCUUGGCCACACCUCGUGACCAUUAUUUAAACUGUGGAUACAAUAAUAUUAUCUUAGUUCUACUUAGAAAAAGAGAAUAGGUAUUUAUUGUUAGUAUAUUAUUCAUGUUCAUAUCUAAUUAUUAUUAACUUUUGAAUAAAAGUAAUAACAAUAAAUAAUAUAUUAAUUAUAUAUGUAUAAAUUUUUAUACUAACACUAUAAAAAUAGUACCCUAUUAGACAAAAUGAUAGAAAAAUACAAGACAUAGUAUAAUAUUGUUGUAGGGUCUCCCAGAGUACAAUUUUUGUUGGAGACUAAAUGACAACUUUCUCCGCAACAAAGGUAUGGCCUCAUAUAAUUGUGGUGUGGAAAUCUUGACGUUUUAGCUCUUAGGGUGUCUUAUUAUAUCACAGUAUCACAACCAAACUUGGAAUGUCCUUUAUAUAACAUUUAAUUUUGCCUAUUUUUAAUAAACAAACAUAAAAGUACACAUAUUUUGGCAGGAAUAAAAGCACACAUUUUUUUGGCAGGAAUAAAAGCACGCAUUACCAAGUUAUUGAUAUCAAAAUAUUUUAGAAAGUUUUUAAAUAUAUACAUAGGCUAAGAAGUCAAUGAAUAAUGUAUAAAUUAAAUACAACUAAACUAAAAUAAUGACAUAUGUAAAUUGGAAAUUGAAUUAAAAGAAAUAGAAAAGUAGAUCAUUAAAAAUAAGAUUAAUAAAGAAGAGUAUAAUUCAAAAAUAAAAUAUAAAUGUAUAUUGAGUUUCUAAAAUGUUAAAAUAUUUCAAAUAGCAUAAAAUAAAAAAAGUUAAAAAUCAAACAAUAUGAAAUCAAUAACAUUUAAAGUUUUAACCCCUUCAUCUCCUGGAAUGCAUAAAACUUUUGGGACCUAUUAAAAUUUUGACACCUAUUAAAUAAAAAGUAAUCGGAAACAAAAUUAAAAUAAUAUAUUAUUUUGUAGAGUGAAUACUUACACUCCCCUGAGUUUUAGUAAAAUUACACAAAUUACAUCUUAUUUUUCACACUACACAAAUCUCCUAAUUUUUUAUAUUUCAUUACACUGAUCACCUCUGCACAUAAAAUAAGUGUAAUAUUUUAAACAAAAAAUAUGAUAAAUGCAAUUUAGUUAAACAUAACAUUUUAUAUUUAAAGACAAGUCCAAAUAAUAUAUGAGUGAAUACAUCUUUAUUAUUUUUUAUUCGUUACGAUAAAAUAUAAGAACGAUUUAAAUAAUAUCUCUUUAGAAUUGUUGAUAUAUUUUGUAACAAAAAAAUAAUAAAGAUACAUUGAUUUGUAUAUUAUUUGAACUUGUGUGCACAAUAUAUCAUGUUUUAUUUAACUUGACUACAUUUAUUACAUUUUUUAAAAGAUUACACUUAUUUUUCAUAUAAGGAUGGUCAAUGUAAUAAUUGUAUAAAAAUUAAGAGAUUUAUGUAGGUAUAAAAAAAUGAAUAUGAUAUGUAAAACUCAAACCCAUGAAUGUUAACGUAAUUUAUUCUGAUUUUUAUUAUAUAUCAAAAUUUUAUUCCACACCCUUGUGGAACACUUUUGGGACAAUUAUUCUGUAUUCCAUCACCUCAUUCUUGGGAAUAUCAAACAUCUCACAUGGCACUAAAUCUACCAAAUAUCGACCAUAUAUUGGCCCAUACAUAUACUUUCAUUUGCAUCCUCUAGAGUCUAGACCAACCGGUCAUCAUCUUUUCUACUAUAACUUAUUUAGGUGUAGUAAUCACUCGAAUAUUCUAUUAUGACUAAGAAUCCUUUAAUUUAAUGACUGGUACAAAGAGUUCUUCUAGAAGUGUAGGCUUCUCAAGACAAUAUUGGGUCAGCAUUGAUGAUGAUUAUGAAAGGUGUGCAUUGAAUGACCGUAGAAGCUGGGUCAGAUUUUUCUGUGCUGGUAGGGUAUCCUUCACACAACCAUAGCCAUAUGUUAAUUUGUUUUUGAUAUUAUAUAUAUAUAUAUAUACUAUAUAAACUAAAACAUGUAAUUAUUAUCAUUAUAUAAUAUUUAUUUACCCUUAAUAUUAUUUUAUUCUAUAAAAAUCAUAUAAUCAUAGGUAAUCGCCACUAGUACAUUGAUCACUUCUCUUACCUUAUAUUAAACAUUAUAAUAAAGAUAAAAAAUAUAAUAUAAAGUACAUCAAAUACAAAAAAUAUUGUAAUUCUCCAAAAUAAAAUAUAUAAAAAUUGAAUACAUAAUACCAUAUAAUAUAAACAGACAAAAAUAAAAUGUUUAUCAACACUACUAAACUCAAGUAAACUUUGGUUCUAAUGAUGAGAUAUUAUAUUUAAGAAACUCGAUCAUAGAAAUAAUUGGGCGUAGUAAAGGGGUCUAAUGAUUCGUUUAUAUUUAAGAAACUCAAUCAUAGAAAGAAUUGGGCGUAGUAAAGGGGUCUAAUGAUUCGUGUAGAAUGUACUAAACAUUUUUUACUCGACUUCUCUUUUGAGAACAUUCAACGAGAAUCAAGAAAGCGUAACGUAUCAAAAUUGAAAUCCCCGAAUUAGGUCCUAAUUAACAAAUGUUGGUUUGGUUUAUUUUAAACGAAAAAGAUGAUGUGCAAUUCUUAACGAAUGUAAGAAGACAUAAGUAGAAACUAGAAAGAAUAGGUAACUAGACCUGCAGACGUAAGAGAAAGAUUCCUAUCCAUGUAUUUAAUACUAAUGUUGUAUAUGGAAAAAUGUGGUUAUUAUCGAUGGUGCAGGAUGUUACGCAUUAUGUAUAUGAGUUUCAGAUCUAUGUACUCACAGUAUAAAAUUUUAGUAUAAAUUUACAACAUAUACGAUUGAUUUGUAAUACUUUUAUUUGAAAGUUAAAACUAAUUAACAAAUGAAUGGUGGAAAUUUGCUGACAGUGUAAAAAUCACUUACGGUGUCAGUGUAUACAUAUUAGAUCCUAUGUAUAUAUACAUGUAACAAAACAUUUAUUUUUAUAGAAUCUAAUAUUUAUGGGAUGAUGAUGUAAAGUUGUACACAUAAUUACUAUAUUAUUUAACAUUUAUUUAAAUAACUGUUUUAAAAUUUUAAUAAUGAUUAAAUAUAAGUUGUGUAUAAUGUAAAUCUUACAUUAUUAGUGCAUACAUUUUUUUCCAUUUUUUAUAGAGUAAAUUACACUGACACCCCUGAGUUUUAGUGAAAUUACACAAACCACCCCUCACUUUUCUACACUUACACAACCCUCCCUUAUUUUUAAACUUUCAUUACAUUGACCACCCCUGCAUAAAAAAUAAGUGUAAUAUUUUAAACAAAAAAUGUGAUAAAUGCAAUUAAGCUAAACAAAACAUGAUAUAUUGUGGAGACACGUCCAAAUAAUAUAUAAGUCAAUAUUUCUUUAUUAUUUUUUGUUCGUUACACUAUAUUAUAAGAGCGAUUUAAAAAAUAUUUCUUUAGAAUUGUUGAUGCAUUUUGUAACAAAAAAUAAUAAAGAUACAUUGAUUUGUAUAUUAUUUAGACUUGUCUACACAAUAUAUCAUGUUUUGUUUAACUUAAUUGCAUUUAUCACAUUUUUGUUUAAAAGAUUACACUUAUUUCUUAUGCAGGGGUGGUUUCUUAUGCAGGGGUGGUCAAUGUAACGAAAGUUUAAAAAUAUGGGAGGUUUGUAUAGGUGUAGAAAAGUGAGGGAUGAUUUAUGUAAUUUUACUAAAACUCAGGGGUCAGUAUAAUAUAUGCUUACAUGGUCCAUAGGUCGUUUUGUAUGAUUUAAACUUAAUUAUAUUGUUUGAGGAAAUAGAGUCUCGUUCCAAUAUUAAAUGCAUGUCAUAAGCUCGGCAUGCAAUGCUUCUAUAACACUUAUAAAUGAGAUAUUUUUUUUAGUACAUCAUAUAAAUGAACUACUAAUAUGAUGGUCCUGAAUGAAUUAAAUAAAAAGUAUAAUUGAUUGCUAGAGGAGAUUGUAAACUUCAAUCACACAAAAAAAAAAUGUUUGAUCGGAGUUUACAAUGUGCUUACAUUACAAUCUAUUAUACUGUUUGCUUAAUAUAUUUAAAAUGGAUUAAAUAAUUAUUUUGUGGAAAAUUUUGAGAACCAAUGAUUUAAAAUUUCAUGAGCAAUUCAUCAAGAAAAAAAGAAAUGAUGCAAUGGUCAACAAGGUGUGUUUAUGUUUUGAAUAUUAUGUUCGAAUUAUAUUAAAUAUAUAUACAUUUAUAUUCUCUUAAACACAUUAGACCAAUAUGAGAGUUUUCAGUUUUUCACCUUAUUGCUUUUAACUCUGAACAGUAAUGGUUGCAACCAUCAUCAUAAAGGAAUCAUUGGCCGCCAAUGAUUGGCGUACUUAUUUCUCUUUUUUUUAUAAUGAUAACACUAAAUAGUAGAUAAAAAGAUAAAAUGUUAUUUAUGUUUUAUUUUUUACUUUGUUUCUUAAUUACUUGUUUCUCUUAGUUGUGGAGAAAUUCUUAUUCAUCCUAAAGUGAUACAGUGGUUGGUUUAAUAUCAAUUGGUAAUAACAACCAAUUGUUCAGUCGUAAAUGAAUAAAUAAUGUAUAAAAAGAAUAUACUUCUUAUAAAUAGUCAUAAUAAUAUAAAUAACGUAUAAGAAAAAAAAGGCGUUGAGUAUGAUUUACCCAUAAAUUAUUAUAAAAAUGUUAUGUUGAAAGCUAUUUUGUGACCCAUUAUGUUGUUCUUUGGUUAAAUGUUUCUUAGAUGCAGGUAAAGACUUUAUAAACACUUAUUAAGAGAUGAAAACUAAGUGGGAAAUGCAAAUAGUUUGAUAAGUUAUAUGAAAAUAGAAAAAAUAUUUAAUGUUUGGCCAUCACAAACAUGAAAUACUUUAUUUUAUUGGUUAAAAACUUAUUCUUAAUAAUUAAUAAAAUAAUCAAACAAGUAUAAUUACUUAUAGGGGCUGAUAUGGAUCUGGUAAGACUUGUCCAUUUUCCAACUCUAAUAUUUUCUUUGGUCUAAGAGAAGAAAAGUAGGAAGAGAGAAUGAAAAGAGAGAAAGAAAUUGAAAAAAUUAUUUCAUGCAUCAUUAGAUUGUAAUUGAUUAGAAAAAUAAUUAUAUUUUAACUUUAAUGAAUUUUAUUCAAUCAAUGACAAUUGAAGGCAAUUAGAGUGAUACAAUUUGUUGGACAGCAGAUGCAUCCCUUAUUGUUUGGUUGUAUAAGAAAAGAGAAAUAAUUGAUUUUUUCUCCCGUACUCUUCGCUUGACAAAGAUCUGUUGUCUUAAAUUAUGUCACAAAUUAUCUCUCAGGCCAAUUUACAUAUAUCAUGUUAAUUAAAAAAAAAUUAAAUAUUCAUUAUUUUUCUAUUUUUGCUUCAUUAUCAUUGGUUCAUGACAUGUUUUGAGACAUAAUUUUAGACCAUAGAUCCUAUUCCCUCUUCGCAUCCCAUUUUCUCCUCACUUGUGAUGAGAAAGAAAUUUCCUGACCCCAAUUGAAAGUGCAAAGUGUCAAGGAUAGCACUAGCAUGUCUUUGCCUAUGUUUUGAUGAAAACAAGAUUCUAUCAAAGCUUGAAGAUAGCUCAACAAUCAACAUGUCUUAUGCUCAUUUGGUCAUAUCUAGACUAUGACGUAAUUUGAGUUUAUAAUCUAAGUAGUCUGGGAUGCGUGUCAUAGUGAGUGAGUAUAGGUUAGGUGAACAUACGUGUUAGUCUCUUAAGCCAUCUUAAUUGUCAUAUCAUAUUAAUGAGACAUAUCAUCUAGUUAAUUGUAUGUUCAUGCAUCUAUCAUACAUGUUAUAUGUGCAUAUUAGGCAUAAUAUACUUAGUAGAACAUGUAUAUAUAUUGUGCAUAACAUAUGAGAAGUUUACCUAUUGAAACAUAUGCAUAAAUGUUCCAGUUAAUCGAUUAACAUUAUAACUUAAUCGAUUAACUCAACUGAUUUUAAUUAAAUGUGUGUUUUCUGUUUGAAUUGUAUUCCGUGUCAUUAUGUUGCUUCGUUAAUCGAUUAACGAAGAGUCUUAAUCGAUUAACUAGUCUGUUAUUUGUUAUAACUGAAAUAUGUUUUAAGUGUUUAACUGUAUAAACUGUUUUGCAACGAAUGUAACCGCCUAUUCUUUAUGCUAUAAAUAAGAGGCAACGUUCAGAGAACCAUAGCAUUGCAUUCUAUUGUAUAGGGCUUUUUAGAGAGCAUUUUGCAUACUUGUUUUAUUGUAUUUUUGCAAGAGAGAUUGCAUGCGUGAGAAGAGAGAAAUUAUGUUGCUCAUAUGCUUACUGUUUUUGUAUAAUUGUGUAUCCAUUCUCAUCCUGCUCACAUGCUCAUGCAUUAGAUAUUGUUAGAGAGAAAUUAUCUGUAUACUAUAUUUGAUUAACUCAUUUGAAUCUUGAUGGCUUAAGUGGUUAAUAAAAGGGUUAAUCUUUGAGUCUUUUUCAUAUCAUAUUCCAAGCAUUUUUGUGCUUAAGUAUACCUUGUUGUUUAACGAGUUUUUUUGUGUAAUCUGGAUUUGUCUCUUGGUGUGAGAUCACCAUAGAGAUUGCGGUUCUUUACCAAGGCUUGGAGGUCUUGAUUUGAGGACAAGAAUCUUGGCUGGGGUUGUUUUGUGAGAACGGUUUUCUCAGGCAAAAGGUAGAGUCAAACCAAGGACUUAAAGGUCCUAGAUUUCAAGAAAGGAGCGUCCUAUGUGCUUGUAAUGGAAUUGUUAUUUGUAUCCAUAUUUCAAUAUUGUGAAGAAAGAAAAUCUCCCUGAACCAGAAGGGGAGGCCUGGAUGUAGUUUGCAGUGGACCGCAAACGAACCAAGAUAAAAAUCCAUUCUCCACUGUUCUUUCUCUCUUUAUCUUCUAUAAGUUUCUUGUUGUUAUAAAUUGAAUCUGUAAUUGAAAUUCUGGAUAUUUUUUUACUGCCAUAUGCUUAAUAAUUGUGCGUAAAAAUAUAUGUAUUAUAUAUGUUCAAUUCUGUUUUAAUUACUGUGAAAAUUGCUUGUCUGAUCAUUCUGUUAUGUGCAAUAGUUAAUCGAUUAAACUUUUCUGUUAAUCGAUUAACUGGGUUGUUUCCAGCAGUUGGGUUUUGGUUCAAGAAGCGGCGAUUGAUAACCGCUAUACCUAUUCAACCCCCCAUUCUACAUGUUCCUAGGCAACUAAUACCUAACAAGUGGUAUCAGAACUAGUACGAUGUGCUAGCUCAACCGCAUCCUCGUGACCCGAAGGGAAUUAAAAUGGGUUCCACCAACCCCUUUAGCGGUGAUGGCGCCUCCAUUAACCGCCCUCCCAUAUUCAGUGGCGAGGGUUACGCCUACUGGAAAAUUCGAAUGAAAAUAUUCAUUGAGGCUAUUGAUUUGGAUAUUUGGGAAUCUGUAAUCAAUGGCCCCUUCGUCCCACUUCACUUAGUGGAUGGCGAACCGAAAGAAAAGCCAAAAAGCUUAUGGACCGAUGAGGAGCGCAAGAAGGUCCAGUUCAACUUUCGCGCCAAAAACAUCAUUACCACGACCCUAUCCUACGAUGAAUUAUUUCGGGCGUCUCAAUGUUAAAGGGUCAAGGAAAUGUGGGACACUUUACAACUGACUCACGAAGGCACUAGCGAGGUCAGGCACGCCCAACUAAAUGCGCUAACUCACGAAUACGAAUUAUUUCGUAUGCUACCAAGUGAAUCGAUCGGCGAUAUGCAAAAAUGAUUCACUCACAUUAUUAAACAUCUUAUUGCUUUAGAUAAGAUGUUCACCAAAAGAGAGCUCACUAAUAAAGUCUUACGUUGUCUUGACAGGAGAUGACAACCUAAAGUAACGACAAUCAUGGAAUCCAAGGAUCUAGACUCCAUGCCUUUGGCAACACUCUUUGGAAAGCUUCAGGAACAUGAGAUGGAGCUUGGGUGUCUGACCAUGCAUGAGGAGUUCGAUCGUAAAAAGAAGGGAAUAUCUCUUAAAGUUUCAACAUCACAACCCAUCGAAGAGAUAGAUAAUGAUGUCUCCGAUUCAGACAUUGACGAGGAAACGCUAAAUCUCCUUGUACGAAAAUUUGAAAAUUUCCUGAAGAAGAAAGGAGGACUUAGACGAUUCCAAAGGAAAGAAGCACGUGAAUCAACAAAGAAAGGUGAGACAAAGGAGCGCUUCACUUGCCAUGAAUGUGGUAAGCUAGGACACAUGAAGUAUCAGUGCCCCACUUACUUAAAAAGAGUUGAUUCAGAGAAGAGCACUCCCUGAGACUUCAAGUCAAAGAAAGCAUACAUCGUCUGGGAUGUAUCAGAGGAAGAAACAACAUCAAACACCUCGGAUGAAGAGGAGACCGUGAAGCUGUGCUUAAUGGCGAUAAUAUAUGAGGCUUGCAUAUCAGGUAGCAAGGAUACUUCAGAUGAGGUAUACUCUGACACAUCAUCCUCUUCUUCUGAUUCUCCCUCAUAUGAAAUAUUGUAUAGUGCUUAUGUUGAUAUGCAUGAAGAAAGCAAAAUUAAGUAACGAGAGAAAAAGAAUAAUUUUGCUAAACCAACAAAAAAUAAUUCAAUUGUAGAAAGAAUUAGAUGAAUAAAAACUAGAAAGAGAAACAUUAGAUCUAAUUUUUUCCUGUGCUUCAUGUGAUUACUCAAAAAAUAACUUAUGUCAAAACACUACUUGUGAAUCUUACGAGGACUUGAAAAACGAAAAUUUUGAACUCAAUGAAAAACUCGCAAAACUCACAAAUAGUAAAAACCAAUUAGACACUCUACUUAGAAAAACAAGAAACGUUGGUGACCAUACUGGAUUAGGAUAUCUUCCCCCAUCCCAUAAAAAUAGACCAUAUAGGAGACCUCUAACACGCCAAUAUAAAAAUUCAAAUAAGAAAAACAUAGUCCCUAUAUGCCAUUACUGUGGCACAUAUGGCCAUACAUNNNNNNNNNNNNNNNNNNNNNNNNNNNNNNNNNNNNNNNNNNNNNNNNNNNNNNNNNNNNNNNNNNNNNNNNNNNNNNNNNNNNNNNNNNNNNNNNNNNNAAAUGUAAACAAGUCAGGAAUUCAUUUAAUAAAAAGAAUGUGAUAUCCACUACUCGACCAAUGGAGCUUCUCCAUGUGGACUUGUUUGGACCAUCACAAAUUAUGAGUUUUGGUGGGAGCUAUUACGCCUUAGUUAUUGUCGAUGAUUUUUCUAGAUUCACUUGGACUUUAUUUUUAUCAUCAAAGAGAAAUGCUUAUAAAUCUUUUAAAUGUAUAGCCAAGCAAAUCCAAAACCAAUCUAACCUAAAGAUUAUUUACAUUCGAUCUGACCAUGGCGGAGAAUUCGAAAAUCAUAANNNNNNNNNNNNNNNNNNNNNNNNNNNNNNNNNNNNNNNNNNNNNNNNNNNNNNNNNNNNNNNNNNNNNNNNNNNNNNNNNNNNNNNNNNNNNNNNNNNNGAAAAAUAGAGUUCUAGAGGAACUCGCAAGGACUACGCUAAAUGAGAGCAAGGUCCCAAAGUAUUUCUGGGCUGAUGCAGUUCACACAGCAUAUUAUGUAAUAAAUAGAAUACUACUUAGACCUAUUUCUUCAAAAACACCUUAUGAAAUUUUUAAAGGUCGAAAGUCAAAUAUUGUUCAUCUUCAUGCUUUCAAGUGCAAAUGUUUUAUUUUGAAUAAUGGAAAAAGAAUUUUAGCAAAGUUUGACUCGAAAGCUGAUGAGGGCAUAUUCUUAGGAUAUUCAUUACAUAGCAAGGCAUUUCGUGUGUUUAAUAAAUAUACCUUGCAAGUAGAAGAGUCUAUUCAUGUUCAUUUUGACGAAUCUUCUCCAAAAGAGAAGAGAAAUGUCUUUUAUGAUGAUAUUUCAGGUACACUUCAAGAAGUGAUAUACCAGGACAUGGAUGGAAUCCAACAAGAAGCAGAGCAAACAGUAGAAGAGCAACAUCAGGAAAUGCCUAUCAAGUGGAAAACUAAAAAGGAUCAUCCACUCGAUAAGGUGCUAGGUGAUAUAUCUACGGAGGUGGUAACCCGUAGCUCUUUACGAAACUUUUGUAAUUUUGUUGAAUUUGUAUCUCAAUUAGAGCCAAAGACCACCGAUGAAGCCAUCGAGGAUGUACACUGGGGUAUAGCUAUGCAAGAAGAGCUAAACCAGUUCGAGCGAAACAAUGNNNNNNNNNNNNNNNNNNNNNNNNNNNNNNNNNNNNNNNNNNNNNNNNNNNNNNNNNNNNNNNNNNNNNNNNNNNNNNNNNNNNNNNNNNNNNNNNNNNNAAUGACAUCCUUUGUAAGGAGUUUUCUGAGUUGAUGCAGGGGGAGUUUGAAAUGUCGAUGAUGGGUAAGUUGACCUUCUUUCUUGGAAUUCAAAUCAAACAAGUGGAAAGUGACAUCUUCAUUCAUCAAUUGAAAUAUUACAAAGAAUUACUGAAGAAAUUCGAUAUGGAGCAAUGUAAGGACACAUCUACACCUAUGGUAUCUGCAUGUUAUCUGGACAAAAAUGAAAAGGGAAAAGCGAUUGAGGUAACCAAAUAUCAUGGGAUAAUCCGCUCCUUAUUGUAUUUAACUACUAGCAGCCCCGAUAUUAUGUUUAGCGUUUGUAUGUGUGCUAGGUUUCAAGCUUUGCCAAAAGAAUCACAUUAUAUUGAUGUAAAAUGUAUCAUGAGAUAUCUAAAAGGGACUAUUCAUAUGGGAUUAUGGUAUCCUAGGGAUGCCUCCCUAUCCUUGGUAGGUUACUCCGAUUCCGACAUCGUUGGGUGUAAGUUGGAUCGUAAAAGCACUAGCGGGACUUGUCACCUAUUAGGCAGCUCCCUAGUUGCAUGACACAACAAAAAGCAAGCGUGCGUUGCUUUGUCCACCGCUGAAGCGGAAUACAUUGUUGCUGACGUGUGUUGCACUCAAAUCCUUUGAAUGAAGCAGCAACUUAAGGAUUUUAGGCUCACAUUAGAAAAGAUCCAUACUAAGUGUGAUAACACGAGUGCCAUUAACCUCUCCAAGAAUCGCGUCUUACAUUCUAGAACUAAGCAUAUUGAAAUAAGACAUCAUUUCUUGUGUGAUCAUGUUUAAAAAGGUGAUUUUAUAUUGGAAUUUGUUGAAACAUCUAAACAAUUAGCAGAUAUUUUCACCAAGCCCCUCUAAUGAGACACUUUCUAUGUUCUUCGAAGAGAACUAGGAAUCCUUGAUGAAAAAUAUCUUGAUUAAUUUUUUUGUGAUUGCCCUGCAUGAUCCCUUUGAAUACUUUGUAAAUAAUGAUUGAAUGCUUAUGAUUCCUUGUAUAAUCCAUGAUUCUGUGCUUAAAAGCUUUAAAUNNNNNNNNNNNNNNNNNNNNNNNNNNNNNNNNNNNNNNNNNNNNNNNNNNNNNNNNNNNNNNNNNNNNNNNNNNNNNNNNNNNNNNNNNNNNNNNNNNNNACUGGCAUUUUCAAAUCGGGUUAAUCGAUUAAGAGAUGUUGUUAAUCGAUUAACGACAUUAGUAUAUGAGAAACGGAAGCGUUUCUGGACAUUUUUCAAAACCCCAUUCAUCUCAUUUUCUCUCAAAUCUCAGAGGAACAAGUCCAACAUCAUCCUAAGCUUCAUCCUAGCCCUAAACAUUAUCAUCCCUCUACAUUUCCACUCCAUAAACCAUCUUCCUCAUCUCCUACUUCCAGUAAAUUCGUUUUACCCAAAUCAAAAACCUUACCCUAUGUUUUCCUCUACCUUUCCUCUAAACCUUUAUCACAAUUCAGUGUUUGAUUGCUAUGGACAGAGAAUGUGGAAAGAGAAUCAAGACAACCGCACGACGUCCACCGCGUGCUCCAAAAGUCAUGCCACCUCCACAACUAAGACAGAACCGCGGGGACCCAUACUACUCAUUGAUUCUACAAGAAACUCGGUUGCAGAAAUUUCAGGGAAGAAAACCUACAUAUAUUCUGUGAAUGUGAGUUGGCUAGCAGAACAAGACUUCGAAUUUCCGCAUGGCUUGCAAGCUCAAGGGGAUGUCCCCUUCUUGGAAUUGAAAGGUAAUAUUUACCCUUCUCUACUUAUGGAGUAUUAUGCGAAUUUUAGAUAUAAAGAUGGAAAAUAUUGGUCGAUGAUAGGUAGAAAAUUGUUCGAAAUUAAUGAAGAAAUCUUUUUGAAUGUGGGUGGUUUAGCUUGUUCUGGUGCUAGUUUAAGUGACUGUGGCUGAGCAAACAAAUCAUUUGACGCUGUUGAAAUGUAUAAGUCAUGUUUGCAUAGACCUCAACUCUAUGUCCAAGGCGAAUUGACCAAAGUCGGGUUACUGUCCGUAGAAAAUAGACUCCUACACUACUUGACUGCCUACAUUUUGAUUUAGAGAAACACAAAUCAUGCACAACCUACCGUGAAUGAUUUGAGGUUUAUGUUUGCUAUGAAGGAGAACAUCAUGAUAAACUGGCCUGACGAGAUUCUGAAGGUCAUGUAUAGCGUCUCCACCUCUCAAUCAAGACUACUUCCUUAUAGUAUCUUCAUAUCCCGAGUUAUUGACUAUCUACAUAUUGAUGUUUCAGAUACUAUAGUGAUGGACUACUUAGACAAGGAUCUUUUGAUUGGUGAGAGUUUAAUUCACAAGAUGGGCAUCUACAAGUAUGGCAACACUUGGCAAUAUCAAGAGGACUUCAACAAUGCUAACCUUGAUCCUUCCAAUGAAGAUGAUCAAGACAUUAACCAAGAGUCAUUUGCUGCAACUAAGGGGGAGCAUCCAGGACAUGCAUCAUAGGAACCUGCUUUUGGACAAGCUUAUAUGGAUGCUAUGGAACAACGUCUCAAUAAUAGAUAGACCUUCACUUUCAACCUCUUAAUGAUUCAUAUCAUACGAAUCUGGAGCAUUUUGAGGAGCAUCAUAAUGCAUACAUCGACAGCCAUUACCAAUCCUUGCGGAACUAUAUUCAGACCACUAUUGACUCUCAUACUAGAAGAAUGUGUGUUGAGUUCAACAAGCUAAGUGUCUUCAUCAAGGGUGGUUGUAGCUCGUCGAUUCUUGACAACCAGAAUACUUCAUCUCAUCCUUAGAUAGGAAACCUUAGACCCUUAGUUUAGUCUUCCUAGCUAAUGGACCUUGUUGAUCCUUGUUUCCUCUUGAGAUCUUAUCUUUUGUAUUACAUUGAUGUUUUAUUUUGAUUGUCAUAACUCUAUAUCUACUGCUGAACUUCUGUUCUACAAGUUAAAUAUUUUGUGUUAAAAUGAUUUCGAAUUAUUGCGUUCAUACUUGGUUGUUAAUUAUGUUGCAUAUAGCACUUGACUUUGUUUGAAAUGGAUCUUGAUCAUGAUUGGUAUAUGUGAUUAUAUUGAAUGAUUGUCCCUAUUGCAAACUGCUCAAAUAUAUCAAAUGCUUAAUCAUUCCAUACUUGAUUUGCUUCUACAUAACCCUUCUUGCCAUUCAAACUAUUUUGUGGCUAUCUGCUGUCAAUUUAAUCGAUUAAUGGCUUCACUUAAUCGAUUAAAUGAUGUAAAACUGUGAAUAUGUUCAAGCUUCUUACAGCUGGUUAAUUAGUUAUCUACCCAAAUUUAAUUGAUUAAUUACAGUCUGUCAUAAACAUAAUAACUCUCCUAACUUUUGACUAGAAUUGAAUACCUUUAUCUUUUUAAUAAUGUCAAAAGGGGUAGAAAAGUUGCUUGUUGUGUUGUACAUUUUGCAGGUUGUUGUAUAAAUUUUUUUUGCAGGUUGUUCUAUCAAGCUUCCGUACAUAAUUUUUUGCUUACCUACAAGGAAGCAAUGCGUAGCUAUCACAUAUAUUUAGACCAUUUAAGCACAAAAUCAUAGAUUUAUAAAAUGGGAUCAUAAGCAUUCAAUCAUCAUUUACAAAGAAUUAAAAGAGGAGAUCAUGCAAGGCAAAAAGAGAGUUAAUCGAGAUAUUUUUCAUCAAGUAUUCCUAGCAUGUCUUUGCCUAUGUUUUGAUGAAGACAAGAUUCUAUCAAAGCUUGAAGAUGGCUCAACAACCAACAUGUCUUAUGCUCAUUUGGUCAUAUCUCUACUAGGACGUAAUUUGAGUUUAUAAUCUAAGUAGUCUGGGAUGUGUGUCGUAGUGAGUGAGUAUAGGGUAGGUGAACCUAGGUGCUAGUCUCUUAAGCCAUCUUAAUUGUCAUAUCAUAUUAAUAAGACAUAUCAUCUAGUUAAUUGUAUGUUCAUGCAUCUCUCAUACAUGUUAUAUGUGCAUAUUAGACAUAAGAUACUUAGUAGAACAUGUAUAUAUAUUGUGCAUAACAUAUGAGAAGUUUACCUUUUGAAACAUAUGCAUAAAUGUUCCAAUUAAUCGAUUAACGUGGUAACUUAAUCGAUUAACUGAACUGUUUUUCUAUUAAAUGUGUGUUUUUUGUUUGAAUUGUAUUCUGUGUCAUUCUGUUGCUUGGUUAAUCGAUUAACGAAGAGUCUUAAUCGAUUAACUAGUCUGUUAUUUGUUAUAACUGAAAUCUGUUUUAAGUGUUUAACUGUAUAAACUGUUUUACAACGAAUGUAACCGCCUAUUCUUUAUGCUAUAAAUAAGAGGCAACGUUCAGAGAACCAUAGUAGUGCAUUCUAUUGUAUAGAGCUGUUUAGAGAGCAUUUUGCAUACUUGUUUUACUGUAUUUUUGCAAGAGAGAUUGCAUGCGUGAGAUGAGAGAAAUUAUGUUGUUUUGAUUGUUAUCAUAUGCUUACUGUUCUUGCAUAAUUGUGUAUGCAUUCUUAUCCUGCUCACAUGCUCAUGCAUUAGAUAUUUUUAGAGAGAAAUUAUCUGUACACAAUAUUUGAUUAACUCAUUUGAAUCUUGAUGGCUUAAGUGGUUAGUAAAAGGGUUAAUCUUUGUCUUUUUCAUAUCAUAUUCCAAGUAUUAUUGUGCUUAAGUAUACCUUGUUGUUUAACGUGUUUUUUGUUUAUUCUGGAUUUGUCUCUUGGUGUGAGAUCACCAUAGAGAUUGAGGUUCUUCACCAAGGCUAGGAGGUCUUGAUUUGAGGACAAGAAUCUUGGCUGAGACUGUUUUGUGAGAAAGGUUUUCUCAGGCAAAAGGUAGAGUAAAACCAAUGAUUUAUAGGUCCUAGAUUUUAAGAAAUGAGUGUCUUAUGUGCUUGUAAUUGAAUUGGCAUUUGUAUCCAUAUUUCAAUAUUGUGAAGAAAGAAAAUCUUCCUAAACCACAAGGGGAGGCCUGGAUGUAGUUUGCAGUGGACCACAAACGAACCAUGAUAAAAAUCCUUUGUGCAAUGUUCUUUAUCUCUUUAUCUUCUUUAAGUUUCUUGCUGUUAUAAAUUGAAUCUGUAAUUGAAAUUCUGGAUAUUUGUUUACUGCCAUAUGCUUAAUAAUUGUGCGUAAAAAUAUCUGUAUUAUAUCUGUUCAAUUCUGUUUUAAUUACUGUGCAACUAUGCAAUAGUUAAUCGAUUAAACCUUUCUGUUAAUCGAUUAACUGGGUUGUUUCCAGCAGUUGGGUUUUGGUUCAAGAAGCGACGAUUGAUAACCGAUACACCUAUUCAACCCCAUUCUAUGUGUUCCUAGGCCAUUGAUACCUAACACAGAUCUAUUUUCAUUCUCUCCAUUCAACUCUUCCUUAAACCAAAUCAGAGAAAUAUAUUAUUUCUCUUCAACUUCUCUCAUCUCAUUCUCUUUCUCUUUCUCUUUCUCUUCUAUUUCCACUCUAUCAAAGGAAAGCUAAAUGUUGGACAAAUUAUUUUUUGAACCUCAACCUAACUAUUCCAAGAUUAUCACAACAUGACCAACAAUAAGGCCUUGAAAUCUCAACGUUAGACCCAACCUCAAAUGUUGACCGGACUAGUUUUUGAACACAAACUUGACAUCGAUUAAACGUAAUACAUACUUCUUGUAGAUAAAGUUUUUCAAUAUUAUUACUUAUUAUUAUAAAUAUGAAAUUCUACAUAUGAAAUAAUAAAUGUGUAUAUAUUGUUAAUCAUUUAUAUAUGAUUAAAAAUUAGGAGAAUCAAUGAUACUUUCGCGAUAUGUCAAGCUCGCUCAUGCUUAUCUCUUAGUUGAUAAUAUUGAUUAAGUCUAACUUUUAAAUUCAAACACCAAACUAAAAAAGAAGGUAAUCAUAGAGAAAAACUAAAUAAAUAGGUACACUCAGAUCUUUCUUAGACAAUGAUCACAUAUCCUAUAAUUUUCAUGUGUUGAAUUCUGGACCAAUCAAACUUUACAAAAUAUUAAUUUCUAUUUUUAUAAUUUUCAUUUUUAAAUAUAUAAAACUUUAUGAUUGACUUGGUACAUUAAGUAGGAUAUAAAUGAACACAUGUUAUCCCAUUUCAUCUUCCAUACUCCUAAUCAAGUUGCACAUGAGCUGUAAAAAUAAUAAUAAACAAUUUAUUCUCAUGCAGCCAAAUAUGGCACACUGCCCUAUAAAUAAAGGACCCUUUCAGUCAUCAUAAUUUCAUUAUCCAUCUUAUAAAAAGUAGAAAACCUUCAUCCUCACAAUCAUGAAAGACACCAUAGUUUUAUACCCUUCUAUUGGUAGGGGUCACAUAUUCUCCAUGGUAGAGUUAGGCAAGCUCAUAUUAACCCACAACCCUUCUUUUUCCAUCACAAUCCUCAUCCCUACACCACCCAAUAGCACCACCAUAGAAGCCACCACCUUUGGCUGCGACUCUUCCAUAACCUUCCACCACAUCCCCAUCCCACAACCACCCUCCGGCACCGCCGUAUCACCCCUGUCUCUCAUCUUUCACCUCACCCGUAACGGCAACCAUAACCUCCA
rnacentral:lncRNA from 1 species